rnacentral:lncRNA from 1 species
GAGUUAAUGAUUACACUGAAAUCAUUCUAAUUAGGCUCUGUUGUUACACGCUGCCCUUUAGGGGCUGGCGCUGUUGUCACAUAAAGUAUUUUGUAGAAAAAUAAUUGGUCUGAGAUCCCUUCCUCCCUCUCUCACAUGCCCAUCUCCUCUCUCCCUCAUUUUUUUUUUUUUAAAUAAUUAUUGAUCUUUCAGCAUUUGAUCGGGAAUAUCGUUCACCUCCCAGGCCCUGGGAACCUUCUGGAAGGUUGGCUGAAGAGUUAAGAGGAGCAGGAAGAGGCUUCAAAGGCAGGAGGAAGGAUUCAAACCAGGCAAGAAUCACAGGAACUUCUGAUUCCCCACAUCAGUAAAGGAUUCCCUGACUCUGGAACUCGCUGCCUCUGCAAUCCACCUCCUAUCUCACACCGCCAUGGGAAGAGACAUCAGCUCCAACGCAUCGCUCACUCUCCCCAAAAAGCUGGAAAGAAGAAAAGAGAGACACUAAUUGCAUUUUCAAGGGAAAAAUAGUAGCCAUGAAAACUUCUCUUCCUUGAGAAACACAUGUUAUAGUGUUUUGCUUCUAUUUUCUUUUUGGCAUGGGGGCUGGGUGGCGGUAUUCAGAGAGCCUUGAAUCUCUUCAAAGAAAGCCGUAAAAAUUAAAAUACUGAGUUAGAGACCUCAUGUUCUUUUUAUCUCCUCUUAAGAGCUAAUGUGAGUUGUCAGUCCACAAAAAUCCUUGCUAUGUGAAUAAACAUCCCACUAGUGAUGCUAAGAAUUCAAUUAAUGUUGUAGGCGAGCAUGAAAAGACUAG